UACGUAGGGACCAAGCGUUGUUCGGAUUUACUGGGCGUAAAGGGCGCGUAGGCGGCAUGACAAGUCACUUGUGAAAUCUCCGGGCUUAACUCGGAACGGUCAAGUGAUACUGUCGGGCUCGAGUCCGGAAGAGGCGAGUGGAAUUCCUGGUGUAGCGGUGAAAUGCGCAGAUAUCAGGAGGAACACCAAUGGCGAAGGCAGCUCGCUGGGACGUGACUGACGCUGAGACGCGAAAGCGUGGGGAGCAAACAGG
rnacentral:rRNA from 1 species